GGGAAAGCGUUUGUAGAAAGUGAGGCUGCUGGACCCGCCCCCGCCGACGAGGCGGGGAGUAGGGCGGUGCCUCCCUCCGAGUUCACCUAUCGGGAAGGGCAGUCUGCGGAGAGGCGGGCGGCGGCACCAAUCCGGUCGAGCAGCUGGAGUCCGGCGGAGCAGUUGGCUGCAGUUGUUGCAACUUUUUUCGAAAGCCGGGUUUCCCGGGAGAUUCCAGGCGGUGACAGAGUGGGACCAUGGCUAGAGGCCCUGAAGUCAGUUGCAUCAUUUAUUCUCCCAGCAUCCCUAGAGGGUCUUUUUUGAUAAGACUUACCCAAAGCCUGAUGAAAAAAUGAGGCAUAGUGAACUUCAGGUUAAAGAGCUUCAUCACCCAGCUCAUGAAAAAAAUUAAGACUAAUAUUUUCCCUUAGAAAAGUGUUAAGCAUGUAAAAGUAUAUUUUAUCUGACAAAUUUUAAUAAAACUGUGCUUCCUGGGUUCA